UAGCAGAACCUGAUUCCAAUCUGAUACUGAUACUUUUGCUGUCUUCCCAAGGAGGGAAAGGCUGGGCUAUUCCUCUGUUCCUGGAGCUGAAGCAGGCUGCAUAGCUUAGCUUGCAAUUUGUGCGUUAUAUCUCUUUAAAAGAAAAACAACGGUGGGUGGGGAGAAAGAAGAGGAAAUUGCUUUUUCCCCUGAGAACAACAAAGUCUGUCAAGGGAAAGACAUUUUAUGAGUCACAAGAAGCAGUGACAGAAGAGAAGUGCCUCAGCAGUAAACAGGGAAAGUAGAAGGGAGCAGACAUCCAGAAUGUUAGUAGGAAUCAGAGGAAAACAGAGGUUGCUGUAGCUUAGUACUGAGCUAGGGGAUAUUUGUUCAUAGGCCAAUGCUGUUUGUGCUCUUUCCCUAUCACUUUGAGUUAUCUUUUCCUGAAGAAGAGCUGCCUUACAUGACUGAUCAGACUUGCUGUCCUUCCAUGUACCUUGUCUACGUCGUCCUUUCUGAGAUGAGCAAAAGAAGAGAAACUGGAACAUGACCACAUCAUAGUUUAUAGUGGAGGACAAUGGCGGUGCGAGACGACAAAGCCAAACGUGUGAAGAAGAUCCGCUCUCUGCAGCCACCAAGCUCGGGCUCAGGAGAGAAGCCAUGCCACCCACCCUCACCUGCGGGACCGCGCUAAGGGUGACCCCAGCCCGGAUUCACUUUGGAGGCCAGGGCAGGAUGGAUGGGGCCGUUCCCGCGCCCAGCCGCUGACCCCUGCCCGCCGGGAAGGCGCUGCCCCCAGUACCAAAGGAGAAGCAAGAAGAGCCUGGGAAAGGCAAACGCCACCCACCUUCUCC